rnacentral:rRNA from 1 species
AUGAACAUCCCGCAGUAUUCCGUAAUGCUUUUAUUUUUUGGUUUCUUGGUUUCUCUAGACCUAUCAUUUAUCAGUAGUCCAUUCACACAUGCAUAUAUACUCACACUGGAACUUGAGCCUGCUGUGAUGAUUCUGGCUUAUCUAAUUAAGCAAGGACUCUCUCUCUCUCUGUGUGUGUGUGUGUGUGUUUGCUCAUGCAUAGAUACAUACAUACGUUCAAGAACAAAAUUUGUGAUAAUGCUUAUAUUAUCACAUACAUAUGCUAUUUAUUAUGAUGAAAUUGAUGAUGAUUUCAUGAUUGUUCAUCUGAUUCUGAGCACCUCCAGUUCCAGUGGCUCUUAUGCUGCCUAG